rnacentral:rRNA from 1 species
AUUGAACGCUGGCGGCAGGCCUAACACAUGCAAGUCGAACGGUAACAGGAAGCAGCUUGCUGCUUUGCUGACGAGUGGCGGACGGGUGAGUAAUGUCUGGGAAACUGCCUGAUGAAGGGGGAUAACUACUGGAAACGGUAGCUAAUACCGCAUAACGUCGCAAGACCAAAGAGGGGGACCUUCGGGCCUCUUGCCAUCGGAUGUGCCCAGAUGGGAUUAGCUAGUAGGUGGGGUAACGGCUCACCUAGGCGACGAUCCCUAGCUGGUCUGAGAGGAUGACCAGCCACACUGGAACUGAGACACGGUCCAGACUCCUACGGGAGGCAGCAGCGGGGAAUAUUGCACAAUGGGCGCAAGCCUGAUGCAGCCAUGCCGCGUGUAUGAAGAAGGCCUUCGGGUUGUAAAGUACUUUCAGCGGGGAGGAAGGGAGUAAAGUUAAUACCUUUGCUCAUUGACGUUACCCGCAGAAGAAGCACCGGCUAACUCCGUG